rnacentral:rRNA from 1 species
UACGGAGGGUGCGAGCGUUGUCCGGAAUUAUUGGGCGUAAAGAGCUCGUAGGCGGUUUGUCGCGUCUGUCGUGAAAGCUUGGGGCUUAACCCCAAGUCUGCGGUGGAUACGGGCAGACUAGAGGCAGGUAGGGGAGAACGGAAUUCCCGGUGUAGCGGUGAAAUGCGCAGAUAUCGGGAGGAACACCGGUGGCGAAGGCGGAUCUCUGGGCCGAUACUGACGCUGAGGAGCGAAAGCGUGGGGAGCGAACAGG